rnacentral:rRNA from 1 species
UACGAAGGACCCGAGCGUUAUCCGGAUUUAUUGGGUUUAAAGGGUGCGUAGGCGGACUUGUAAGUCAGUGGUGAAAUAUGGCAGCUCAACUGUCAAGGUGCCAUUGAUACUGCGGAGCUUGAGUACAGAUGAGGUAGGCGGAAUUGACGGUGUAGCGGUGAAAUGCUUAGAUAUCGUCAAGAACACCUAUAGCGAAGGCAGCUUACUAGGCUGUAACUGACGCUGAGGCACGAAAAGUGUGGGGGAUCAAACAGG